rnacentral:rRNA from 1 species
GACGAACGCUGGCGGCGUGCCUAAUACAUGCAAGUAGAACGCACAGUUUAUACCGUAGCUUGCUACACCAUAAACUGUGAGUUGCGAACGGGUGAGUAACGCGUAGGUAACCUGCCUGGUAGCGGGGGAUAACUAUUGGAUACGAUAGCUAAUACUGCAUAAUAUUGAUUAUUGCAUGAUAAUUGAUUGAAAGAUGCUAUUGCAUCACUACCAGAUGGACCUGCGUUGUAUUAGCUAGUAGGUGAGGUAACGGCUCACCUAGGCGACGAUACAUAGCCGACCUGAGAGGGGGAUCGGCCACACUGGGACGGGGACACGGCCCAGACUACUGAGGGAGGCAGCAGUAGGGGAUCUUCGGCAAUGGACGAAAGGCUGACCGAGCAACGCCGCGUGAGUGAAGAAGGUUUUCGGAUCGUAAAGAUCUGUUGUAAGAGAAGAACGGGUGUGAGAGUGGAAAGUUCACACUGUGACGGUAUCUUACCAGAAAGGGACGGCUAACUACGUG